rnacentral:tRNA from 1 species
GGGUCAUAGCUUAAAGGAAAAGCAGCGGCCUUUUAAGCCGUUGAUCGUGGUUCGAUUCCACGUGACCUCA